rnacentral:rRNA from 1 species
AGAGUUUGAUCCUGGCUCAGGAUGAACGCUAGCGGCAGGCUUAACACAUGCAAGUCGAGGGGCAGCAUGGGAGUAGCAAUACUUCUGAUGGCGACCGGCGCACGGGUGCGUAACGCGUAUGCAACCUACCAUCAACAGGGGGAUAACACUGAGAAAUUGGUACUAAUACCCCAUAAUAUCUCAUGCGGCAUCGCAUGGGGUUGAAAACUCCGGUGGUUGAUGAUGGGCAUGCGUUGUAUUAGCUGGUUGGUGAGGUAACGGCUCACCAAGGCGACGAUACAUAGGGGGACUGAGAGGUUAACCCCCCACAUUGGUACUGAGACACGGACCAAACUCCUACGGGAGGCAGCAGUGAGGAAUAUUGGUCAAUGGACGCAAGUCUGAACCAGCCAUGCCGCGUGCAGGAUGACGGCUCUAUGAGUUGUAAACUGCUUUUGUACGAGGGUAAACCCCGAUACGUGUAUUGGGUUGAAAGUAUCGUACGAAUAAGGAUCGGCUAACUCCGUGCCAGCAGCCGCGGUAAUACGGAGGAUCCGAGCGUUAUCCGGAUUUAUUGGGUUUAAAGGGUGCGUAGGCGGUUUGAUAAGUUAGAGGUGAAAUGUCGGGGCUCAACCCCGAAACUGCCUCUAAUACUGUUGGACUAGAGAAUAGUUGCGGUAGGCGGAAUGUAUGGUGUAGCGGUGAAAUGCUUAGAGAUCAUACAGAACACCGAUUGCGAAGGCAGCUUACCAAACUAUAUCUGACGUUGAGGCACGAAAGCGUGGGUAGCAAACAGGAUUAGAUACCCUGGUAGUCCACGCAGUAAACGAUGAUAACUCGUUGUCGGCGAUACACAGUCGGUGACUAAGCGAAAGCGAUAAGUUAUCCACCUGGGGAGUACGUUCGCAAGAAUGAAACUCAAAGGAAUUGACGGGGGCCCGCACAAGCGGAGGAACAUGUG